rnacentral:rRNA from 1 species
GACGAACGCUGGCGGCGUGCCUAAUACAUGCAAGUAGAACGCUGAAGGAGGAGCUUGCUCUUCUGGAUGAGUUGCGAACGGGUGAGUAACGCGUAGGUAACCUGCCUGGUAGCGGGGGAUAACUAUUGGAAACGAUAGCUAAUACCGCAUAACAGUAGAUGUUGCAUGACAUUUGCUUAAAAGGUGCAAUUGCACCACUACCAGAUGGACCUGCGUUGUAUUAGCUAGUUGGUGGGGUAACGGCUCACCAAGGCGGCGAUACAUAGCCGACGGGUGAGGGGGUUCGCCGCCCUGGGACUGAGACACGGCCCAGACUCCUACGGGAGGCAGCAGUAGGGAAUCUUCGGCAAUGGACGGAAGUCUGACCGAGCAACGCCGCGGGAGUGAAGAAGGUUUUCGGAUCGUAAAGCUCUGUUGUAAGAGAAGAACGAGUGUGAGAGUGGAAAGUUCACACUGUGACGGUAUCUUACCAGAAAGGGACGGCUAACUACGUG